CUCUUCUUAUCAUUGUAUACUCUGCAUGGGCAAAAUAGGGGUACACAAUGAAGGAGUUGAAGAUGGUGUGGAGAGAGCAGUUAGGGCUCUACAGUCUAUACAUAAAGAAGGAAAUGAAGCUGG